UAAGGGAAAAUAUUUCAAGUUUAUAUUUGACUUCGUAGUGAUUUUAGCAGCAAAUGUUAAGCAUCAAUCGCUGAGGCUGCGAUCCCUCUGUUAAAACCGACGGCCGCCUCUCUCUGUUAACUCUGUUAGCUCUGUUAGCUCUGUAGACGCUCUGCAGACUGUUACGCGCUGUUAGCGCUACAGACGCUGUUAAGUCCAGUCCAUCAAAUCUCGAAUUAAAAUUACUAAAUGUAAGUAGAUUGACAAAAGCUGAUACCGAAUGUGUCAUCUUUAGGCAUUAGCUUGAUUGCUCACAGCUGGAUUAGUCGGGUGAUUAGUUAGUUACUCGAGGGGCAACUUCAUCGCGCCCAUCAAACUCUCGCUGCACACCUCGUUGCAUAACUGACACACAGUUUCUAAUCAUAAUCAUUAAACGUUCUCCCAUCAGGGAGACAUGCAUCGGGACGAGCUAAGCUAUAACCACAUUUGGCUACACAGAACUGCACUCCAGAGCGGGUAAGCUGCUCGUUGGUAGGGCGGGAGGCAGUGGCUAAGGAGGUGCGGGUGAGGGAGAGUGGCCUUGAAGUGGCCUGACGAUGACUUGGACUUGACUGCGGUGGCUUUGGUGGCUCGAUGGGCGCCUGGGCACACUUACACUUAGCGGACUCGUCGUCGUCGUCGUUGGAUUGUGGCCUCGGCUCGGAACCCCUUUGGGGCUUGGCCUGCGACUGGUCGGCUGAGGGGUGCCCAGUGUUGAGUGUGCCAUUGAGGCAAGGAUGGGGUUAAGUUGUUGAGGCAUGUCCUUGCCUUGGCAUCAACUUUUAAUUUACAACUGCGUCAAGUCUUCGUCUCUCUGUUUAUGCCUCUACAUCUGUCGUUCCUUCUCUCCUUCGCUCGUUCUUUUUGUUGAUUUAAUU
rnacentral:lncRNA from 1 species